UAUUUGAAUAGCUUAAUAAGAGCAUAUCAUUGAAGUUGAUAAGGUAAUUUAAAAUUUUCAAAU
rnacentral:tRNA from 1 species